rnacentral:rRNA from 1 species
GUAGUUGGACCUUGGGGUGGGCCGACCGGUCCGCCUUGCGGUGUGCACCGGUCGUCCUGCUCCUUCUGCCGGCGAUACGCUCCUGGCCUUAACUGGCCGGGUCGUGCCACCGGCGCUGUUACUUUGAAGAAAUUAGAGUGCUCAAAGCAGGCCUACGCUCUGGAUACAUUAGCAUGGGAUAACAUCAUAGGAUUCCGGUCCUAUUGUGUUGGCCUUCGGGAUCGGAGUAAUGAUUAACAGGGACAGUCGGGGGGGCAUUCGUAUUUCAUAGUCAGAGGUGAAAUUCUUGGAUUUAUGAAAAGGACGAACAACUGCGAAAGCAUUUGCCAAGGAUGUUUUCAUUAAUCAAGAACGAAAGUUGGGGGCUCGAAGACGAUCAGAUACC